UAAUCUCAUCCGAAUCCGUUGCCAAAACGGCGCGACGAAUUCGUCUGGGAUUGGC
rnacentral:pre_miRNA from 1 species